rnacentral:rRNA from 1 species
GACGGAGGAUGCAAGUGUUAUCCGGAAUCACUGGGCGUAAAGCGUCUGUAGGUGGUUUAAAAAGUCUAACUGUUAAAGCUUGAAGCUUAACUUCAAAAAUGCCGUAGAAACUUUUAAACUUGAGUAUGGUAGGGGUAGAGGGAAUUUCCAGUGGAGCGGUGAAAUGCGUAGAUAUCAGGAGGAACACCGGUGGUGUAGACGGCUUACUGGACCAUAACUGACGCUGAGACACGAAAGCGUGGGUAGCAAACAGG